rnacentral:tmRNA from 1 species
GGGGGCGACCUGGUUUCGACGCGGGUAGCAAAGCCCUAGGUGCAUGCCGAGGCGCAGCAGACCUCGUAAAUCCAGCUGCAAAACCUAUAGUUGCCAACGACGACAACUACGCUCUAGCCGCUUAAAGCAGCUAGCCUCUGACUGCGCUGUGCUUGUGCACGCAGAUUCCAGGGGUCACAUUACACAAGAUCGCGGUGGUGCGCGCCCUUCGCGCGACCGUUAAAACUUAAUGGGCUCGCCCUUGCGCCGCCCUGCCCGUCGGGCAACGCGGGGGUCAAACUCAGUAGACGAGGCUAAGCAUGUAGAGCCGAAGGUGGCGUGCUUGCGGACGCGGGUUCGAUUCCCGCCGCCUCCACCA